rnacentral:lncRNA from 1 species
AGAAUUAAAUUUUAUAACUUUUUACUAAUUAUUAAGUUAAAAAAUUGUCAAGUGUCAAUAUUUGAUUGGUAUUUUUUUAUUUUAAUUAAAAACAGUUAUUUAAUAAUUAAUUUAGAAAAAAAUGACAAAUGUCAUAAUAUUAUUGAUCACUUUUACACGUCAUCGGCGCGUGAUAUUUUUGUUGAUUCAGCUAAAAGUGUCAAAAUAAUAUUCGUGUGUAUGUUAUUUGAGGUGCCAAAAGUGAACAACGUCCACUUAAGGUGCCAAAGUGAAAGAUUGUGCCAAGUUCAGAGGGUUAUCGAUGGGUUUGGCCUAUUUUUUUUUAUAGUUUACAGGUCAUAGAUGAAUGUCGGCUGGCUUUGAAGAAUUUCUUGUGUAAAGGUUAGGUUUAAUUGUAUUGUUUUGAUAUUUUAUUGUCUUAUUGUUUUAUUUUAAUUUACAGAUGGAUGAAUGUGAGUCGGCUUUGAAUUUUUUUUUAGGUAAAGUUAUGUUUAAUUGUAUUAUCGUAAUAUCUCUAUUAGUUUGUUAUUUUGUGGUAGUUUACAGUUCGUAGAUGAAUCUCGAUCGGCUUUAAGAAAUUUGUGUGCAAAAUUUAAGUUUAAUUAUAUUGUUUUGAUAUCCCUUUUAUCGUAUUCUUUUGUUGCAGUUUAUAGGUGAUAGAUAAAUGUUGGUCGGUUUUGAGGAACUUUUAUUAGGUUUAGUUGUAUUAUUUUGAUAUCUCUAUUAUCGUAUUAUUUUGUUAUUGUUUACAAGUGGUAGAUGAGUGUCGGACGACAUUUGGCAAAAAUUUUAUGUGUAAAGAUUAGAUUUAAUUGUAUUAUUUUGAUGUCUCUGUCAUUGCAUUAUUUUAUUGCAAUUUACAGAUGGUAGAUGAACGUCGAUUGACUUUUAAAAAUAUUUUUGCUAAAGAUUAGGUUUGAUAAAUAAAUUCUCCAUCUUCACAUAUCCAAAAAAUAUUAAAUUUAAUUAUUAUAUUCAUCUUUAUUAUUUAAAUAAAUAUCCUAUUUAAUGUAAUGUUUGAACUCAUUAAAUCAAAAUUAAAUUAUUAAUUCAAUUAAAUUUUUUAUAAAAUCAUUAAAAAAAUAUUAACUCAAUAAACCAAUAACAACAACUCAAUUGCAUUUUUAUCGAUUUGGUUUUUGGUCAGUUUGAUUUUUGCACACCCCUACUGUGAAACCUCUGACUACUAUUAUUUGGUCUUAUCUUUAUUGAAUCGAUUUUUAUAUUUAUUACUUACAUGAUACACAGCACGGAGUAAUCUAUUUUGUAACAGCAACACUUCAAAUUAUAUUACUUCAACAAAUUCAAAGAUAUGAGAAAUUCACACACUUAGUUAGAAAAUAAUGCUGAGAAGAGGGGAAGAAUAAUUUGAUUUUCAGUGCAUAAAUCUGAGGUACGACCUUUAAAUUUAUAACCAAUGAGAGGUGUAUGUUCGUAAUUUUGGGUAUGUCUUUACAAAAGAGGCAAAACUCAUUUUGAAAAAUAAUUGUUGUCUUUCGCAAAAAGAGGCAUGAGAAAAAUAAAUGGAAAAAUUUCGACUCAAAAGUUAAAAGUCAAAUCAAAAUCAAAGCCGACUCGAGCAAACACUGAUAAGAUGUCACGAGAGCUCUCCAUCUUCCUAAUUUUGCAAGCCAGAGUGAAAUGUUUUUCUAUUUAUGUAUAUUAAUAAUACAUUAUUUUCGUCUAUGUGGGACAAAACUUACGUCAUUCUUUCUAUUUACAACAUACUCCAAAGGUCAUGGAAUUAAAUCUCAUUCUCACACACCCAAAAAAAAAAUCAACAACCCCCAAAUGAAUGGACUAUUUUCAUAUGGUAAAAACAUGUUUAAGAAAACUUGUGUUUAUGCUAUUAAGAAUUAAUUACUUUUGAAUAAGUUGGGUUAAAACUUUUCGUAACGAACAUAUAUAAAAUAUACUCCUUCCGUUUCAUAAUAAAUGAAUUGUUGGAUUUUGACACAAAGAUUAAGGAAAAACAUUAAAGAUAUAAAUUUAAUACAACUUUUUAUUUUUAUCCUAAAAAAAGAAAAAGUUGACCUUGUAAAAUUAUAAGGCUAAAUUUGAAAAAAAAAUUAAUUAUUUACUUAUUUUAAAACAUUAAUAAAUAUUCCAACAAUUCACUUAUUCUGAAACGGGGGAAGUAAUUAAUUAAUCGGCAUAUGUGAGAUCCUUGAACGGUAGAUCAAAUUUUAGUGCAUACCUAAACAUUGUAAAUCAUAUAGUCAACUCUUGACUUUUUCUUGUCCUAGUUAUUGUGUUUGACCGUUCAUCUGAUAUCGUGAGUACAUAGAGAAUUUAUCUUACAAUCCUUCCUCUUGAAGCAACUAACACUUUCACUCAUAUCGGUGAAUCGUCCUAAACGUGAAAUUCGUAGACACUCUAUUUUACUAUGUUAUAUCAAACUUACAAUUAGAUUUGUUCUGAAUUUUCUACUUUAACUGAUUUUCUAUCACAAUUAGGAUAACUUUUAUUGAUGAAAAAAGUUUUCUUGUUGAAAAAGAUCUUUCCUAUUAGAUUUCUUCUUUAUUAGAGAAAGAGUUUUGUAGCUCUAUAAAUAUAAUUUAUCUCUUCUCAAACAAAAACACCAUUUCAUCCACAAUCUAGUUCUUUAAGAGUUUUGUUUAGGGUGAAAUUUUAUUUUUUAUUAGUUUUUAUCUUUUUUAAUAUUAGAUUUUAUAUGUAGGCCAAUUGGUCAAAUCAUGUUCAAUAUUAUGUUUUAAGAUUAGUUUUUGGAAAAAGGCAUCGUUUUCACCCCAAACUAUACCCGAAAAGUCGAAGUCACACCUAAACUAUACUAGUGACCUAUUACACACCUAAACUAUAAAAAAGUGAAACUAUUUACACCCUGUCAGGCUACCACCACUUGCAUGUGGUGUAGUGUUUUACACGCGCUGUCACGUCAGCACCACGUCAGUAAAAAGUAUCACUUUUUUAUAGUUAAGGUGUGUAAUAGGUCACUUAUAUAGUUUAGGUGUGGAUUCGACUUUUCGACUAUAGUUUGGGGUGGAAAUGAUGACUUUUUCCUUAAUGUUUUUAGUCGUUUACUUUUGUUAUUUAAUAGACUGGACGCGCCUAAAAUAAGUGUAACACACGCGCCUUAGAAUGGGGGUUGCGAGGAGGUAAUAAUAUUACUUUUUUAUAGUUAAGGUAUGUAAUAGGUCACUAGUAUAGUUUAGAUGUGGCUUAGACUUUUCACGUAUAGUUUAGGGUGGAAACGAUGCCUUUUCCCUUAGUUUUUCUUUGUCAUCUAAUUAAUUAUCAUCUCCAUUAUUGGCCACUUUAAGCUUUCGCAUAACGCCCUCUCGAUUUUGAAGCUAACAAGUGACAUCAGAGCUUAUGUGUAACGACCAAAAAAUUAUAAUGAAAUAUGUGAAAUUUGUGAUUUUGUGUGAUUUAACUAUUUUAUCCCUCUCCAUAGUUGCAUUAUGGUAUUUCUGGGGUGAGGAGGUGAUUGACAUAAUUUUUGAUGUAUUUUGGUACCAUUUAUGCGAUAUUGUGAUCUUUUAUGGCUUCGAAAGUCUUAUUUUAAACUUAUAUGGAUAUCUUUUGAUCUGUGCAAUGGAUGGUUGAACGAACUAUGUUAGUAGCUCUGGAAUAUCGAUUUUAGGUUAGUUAGACCUUUGGUCCGGGUUUCGGUGCACCCGAGGUCAUUUCGAUCUAUUGAUCAAAAAAUUAGAAAAUUAAAAAUAUGAGUGUGGGACCCACAUUUAGUCGAAGCGAUCUCGGAUGGAAAACUCAACUUUGCCAGCAAAUCCAAAACGUCGAUUUUAGGAUGGUAACAUAUUUAGUGUGAUUUUAUGACUUUUAAAUCUCAUUUCGACCCUCGAUUUGGAAAAUUGUGAUUUGGGGGUUUGGGGGUCAACUUUGUGAAAAUGACGUUUUUUUUUAAUCUGACUUCGCUAACACAUCCAAAACGUCAAAUUUAUUAUGGUUGCAUAGUUCGUUUGCAUAUAUCAAACUCCAAAUGAAUUUUGAGCACCACGUCGAAGUCCGGGUUGGACUUUAACAAAAGAGUAGUUUUUUUCUUUGCUAGUGCAGAUUUUUCUGCACCAUUAAAUCAGUUUUUGUCUUGUUUCCAAAGUUAAAUCCUAAAUAGUGUGGAAGCUUAAAAGUGAAGCUUGUGGAGGUUUGGGAAGCUAGAUUAACAUUUAUUUAUUAAUUCUAUUACGGAUUUAAAAGUAAAAAUUCACUCUUUUCUUAUUAAUUUUUUUAUUGAUUUUUCAAAACCCCAAAAAUCUUAAAUUUUAAACCUCAGUUUCACUCUUUUCACUUGAAUAACAUUUUAAUCUUAUAAUUACUAGUGUUUCAUCAAUUUAACCUUCAAAACAACUCUGAUUCUUGAUUUUAACUCGGAUUUUAAAGAUUUUACUCGGUAAAGCUUAAAAAUAUUUUUCAUUAAUUUAAACCUUGUUUUGACUCUAUUUGACUUGGAUUUUAAGCUAUAGGUUUCUAAAAAAUGUGGAAAACUCAUUUUUAAAGUAAAGUUAUUAUUUUGCCCUUCUUUUUCGAAAAAUCUAUUUCCGAGUUCGUUUUGACCCCUAAUCAAAAGUAGUCAAUAUGAGUGUCGCUAGUUUUAUUUUGGCACGUAGAUUCCAUAUUUGAUGUUUUUAAUGGAGUUCGGGAUCAUUCGUGAAAAUUAAGGUCAUAGGUUCAAAGCACAGCGGAUCAGUUUCGACAUUCGAGGUAGGUUAUGACUUAUUUCUUUCAGACUGGGUUGAGUAGUAAAUGAUGGUACAAAAUGCAUGUUAAGGGAGGAAAACUAAUAAUAAAAAAUGGCUAUUUAUGUGUUGUGCCUGUGUAGGGGCCUAUAUAUGAUAUAAUUGUCGAAAUCGAGUUAUUAUGUGAUGUGUGACCGUGUGGGGUCCUAUGUGAUAUUGAUAGUCUUUAAUACAUGUGAAUAAUUUUAUUGUAUUGUAUUGUAUUGUAUUGUUAAGAUGCGUAAUAUGGUAACAUUGGUGUAUUGUGAUUAUAUUCAUACUUUAUUGGCGUAUGAGACAUGUGAAAAUUCGUGGAUGAAACUAAAAUUGAGUGGAUAUUGGCUCACGUGAUUAUGAAAAUAUAUCAUUGUGGUUGGUUUUGGAAAUAUAUCAUGUGGCUGGUUGUAGAAAUAUAUCAUGUGGUAAUUGGUUGUGAAAAUACUCAUUGUGAUUGGUUAUGAGCAUUACAUUCUCAUAUCAUACUCAUUUAUGAAACAUUGGUACCACUGUGACAACAUAUGAGAAACACUGGCAAGACCUUGUUAAAACCUUCUGCGAAAGAUGUGUCGAGGAGAAGAUAUUGUAACACCUUAUAAAAUUCUUUCCGAGGGAUGUGCCAGAAAAGAGAUAUAAGAUAUGUGGAUUGUAUAUGGGUUGACGAACCCCCCAUGGGUCCUACGUCGGGAAGCUUUAGCUCCAUAGGUAUAUAAGGGAUUGUACGACAAUUUUGAACGUUGUGCGGCAAACUCAUGCAUCAUCAUCAUCAUAUAGAUUGUACUUACUUUAUUGUGUUACGUUGUGUUGUUUUGCCAUAUUGACUUGUGAUCAAUGUAUUUGUUGUAUUUUUCUUUACUUGUAUUUGAUGAUCAUGUAUAUAUAUGUUCUACUUAUAUGUGAUAUAAUAUGUACUUGUGUCCUAUCGUGGUGUGAUGCAAUAUAUGUGUUAUAUUAGAACUGGUAGUGCAAGCGGUGUGGGCUACCGUUGUACGAUAUUUUUUUAUUGUAGGUGACGUGUCCUUAGUGUGUAUUUGUAUGCUUUAUUUUCUACUUUCCUCGGUCAGCGUAUGAUACCUACUGAGUACAAGUGGACCGUACUUACUCGUACUUCACAUUUUCAGUGCAACUUCAAGUUUAGGUGAGCCUCAAACUGAUUGAUUUUGGGUACCUUCAUAUUACUCAAGGUUGGACAUUCAUAUGUCCGGAAUUCACCUGUAUCUUUCUGUAUUAGUUAUGUCUUUAUUAGUAUUCGGAGACAUAUAUUAUUACUUUGUGAUUAUUUUUCAGAUGUAUUUGACUCCGGGAUUGUAUUAGUAGUUCUUGUACUGUUAACACCAGGUUUUGGGAGUUAUGAUUGCAUGUGUUGAUGUUAUUCUUUUCGUUUUUAUUAUAUCUAUGUGGUUCGACGUUAUUCUAGAAGUAUUACUUGGGUAUUUCUGUCUUUUCCUAUUCCUUUUUGUAUCAGUUUGGGUGAUAGUCUUAUUUGUCAAGGUACGUCGCGACAAGUGUCCUCAUGACCUUUGUUCCUGGGUCAUGACAAAUUGGUAUCAGAGUAGUCAGGUUUCAUUGGUCUCAAUGGUGUAAAAACAGGAUAUCUAAUAGAGUCUCAUAGAUCAAUACAUAGAUGUCUAUAUCUCUCUUUGAGAGGAUAUAGGAUGUUCUUAGAAAACUUUUCUCAUUUUAUUCCUUAUCACGCGAAGUUCUUUAAUACUUUGUGUUCCCAUCUGUAUUUCACUCUUUCUACGUGGAUGGUGUGCUUAUACAUCUUAUUAGUUGAGAGAUGUUGUGAGAGAUUAGUGGAGAUCGUUUGUUGUUUGUAGGACUGUUGAUGCUCCUGAGUUAACCUGGGAUCAGUUUACUAAUGCCUUUUUAGAGAGAUUUAUGUCUUAUAGUUUGAGAGAUCGGAUGCAUGAUAAGUUUGAUCGUCUGGACCAGGGCUCUGUGACAAUUGUUAAGUAUGAGUCAUGGUUUCAUGCCUUGUCCAUAUAUUCCUAUUAUAGCAUUUCCACCGAGUCUAAGAAGAUUCAGAAGUUUGAGAAGGGUUUGGAUGUCUCCCUUCAGUUGGCUACGUCUCAGAUGGUUUUGUGUUGGGGGCUUCUUUCUAGAGUAUAAUAGAUCAUGCUAAAAUGAUAGAUGGUAUUCUUAGUGCAUCUUAGGGAGGCACCAAGAAGGCGCGAUGUUUUGGUGAGUUUAGGAGUCAGACCUCUCGAGGCAAAGAUUUUAGAGGUUCUCAUGGAUACCAUGGUAAGCCAAUGUGGGAGGCUUUACAAAGUUCAAGUGGUGGAUCUUCUAGUUCAAUAGUUCAGGCUGGCCAUUCGAGCUUAGUUGUACCUUCUUCUGUUGAGGUUGGUUUCAGAGGUUGUUUUGUGUGUGAUGAGAUUGGCCAUGUGGCCAGAGACUGUCCCUACCGAGUGGUUUGGGCUACUCCUAUUCCAAUUGUAAUGGGUAGGAGGCUACCAUAGGAGCGAGGGGCAGAGGCAGUAGAGCUUGUGGGGUGGUCGUGGGGCCACUCAAGCAGUUGGUAGUCAUGGGGCCACUCAGACAGUUAGUGGUCAUGGAAAAUGCUAUGAUAUCCCAGCCAAACCUAAGGUAGAGGCUUCUGAUGUUGUGAUUAUAGGUUUCGUCUCGGUUUGUUUCAGACCUGCAUCUGUAUUAUUUGAUCCUAGAUAGACUUUCUCCUAUGUGAUUGUAUAUUUUUCUUCGGGUUUUGAUUUUGUUAGUGAGCCUCUUGCCAUGUCUAUUUGUGUAUCUACCCGGUAGGUCAUUCUUUAGUGGUGGAUCAGGUGCACCGAUCUUGUGUUGUGACUUUUGCUGGGUGUGAGGUUUUGGUAGACUUGUUUGUGUAAGAUAUGGUCGAUUUUGAUGUUAUUUUAGGUAUAUAUUGGUUGGCUCUUUAUCAUGUUGUCUUAGAUUAUUUUGCUAAGAUCGUGACUUUAGUUUCGCCAGAUGUGCCAAGGAUAUCUUGAAAGGGUGCACUUUAUUCGGGUCUUAAGAGGAUUCAAUCUUAUGUUCAGGCUCAUAAAUUGGUUAAGAUAGGAUAAUUAUCUUACUUGGAUCAUAUUUGUGACACUAAUGUUGUUUUGCCUCCUUCCUUAGAUUCUGUCUGUGUUAUCCGUGAGUUUAUGGAUAUGUUCCCUACGAAUUUGCCUGGUAUGACUUCGAAUUGAGAUAUUCAUUUGCUAUUGAUAUUAAGAGGGCACCAAGCCCAUUUUUAUUCCUCCUUAUAGGAUGACCCCAACAGAGUUGAAGGAACUAAAGGAUCAGUUACAGGAGUUGUUGGAUAAGGUAUUUAUCCGACCUAGAGUAUCAUUGGGGUACACCUUUUUUGUUUGUGAAGAAAAAAAGAUGGGUCUAAGCAUAUGUGUAUUGAUUACCGACAGUUGAAUAUGGUGAUAGUUAAGAAUACGUGUGCUAUUUCUCGCAUUGAUGAUUUAUUUGAUCAGCUUUAGAGUGUUGCGUUAUUUUCGAAGAUUGAUUUGAGGUCCAGUUAUCACCAAUUGAGGAUUGGAUAUUUAGAUAUUCUGAGACAGUUUUUUAGACUUGAUAUGGUCAUUAUGAGUUCUUGGUCAUGUCCUUCGGGUUGAUCAAUGCCCUCGCUGCGAUCAUGGAGUUGAUGAACCAGGUGUUUCGAUCGUAUCUUUACUCCUUUGUUAUUGUAUUUAUAGAUGAUAUCUUGGUUUAUUCCAAGAGUGAGGUUGAGCAUGGGGAGCAUUUGCGGAUCAUGCUUCAGUUAUUGAGGAAUGAGAAGUUGGAUGCUAAGUUUUCUAAGUGCGAGGUUUGGUUGAAGUCUAUUUUUUUCUUGGUUCAUGUGGUGACUAAGGAAGGUAAUAUGGUUGAUCCAUCCAAGAUUAUCGCGGUUAGUGAUUGGGCUAGACCUACUUCACAUCGAGAUUCAAAGUUUUGUUGGCUUAGUAGGCUAUUAUCGGCGUUUUGUUGAGAGUUUCUCUUCUAUUGCAGCUCUGCUGACCAAGUUGACCCAGAAGAAGAUUUCUUUUCAGUGUUUUAAUUCUCGUGAGGAGAGCUUUCAAAAGCUUAAAGAUUUGUUGACUUCGGCUCUUAUCUUGACUUUUACCAGGAAGGGCGUGGGUUUUACCAUCUUUUAUGAUGCUUCAGGUAUUGGAUUAGGUGUUGUAUUGAUGCAGGAGGGAAAGAUCGUUGCUUAUGCAUCUUAUCAGUUAAAGCCUCAUGAGAAAAAUUAUCUUACCCAUGAUUUGGAGUUGUGUGCAGUAGUAUUUGCCUUGAAGUUGUAGAGACACUACUUGUAUGGAGUCCAUUGUGAGAUCUUCUCAGAUCAUCGUAGCCUUUAGUACUUCUUCACCCAUCAAGAUCUUAAUAUAAUGCAAUGUAAUUGUCUUGAGUUGCUUAAGGAUUAUGACUUGACUAUUCUCUACCAUCCGGGCAAGGUUAAUGUGGUUACUGAUGCCUUGAGCCGAAAGUCGACUAGCAUGGGUAGUUUGGCGCAUCUUUUGACCCAGGAAAAGCCCUUGGCCUUGCAUUUUCAGUCUUUAGCUAUCCAGAUGGUUAGGCUUGAUAUUUCGACACCUAGCGUGUUUUGGCAUGUGUGGAGGCUAGAUCUUCUUUGAUAGAGCAGACUCGGGCUUGUAGGUUUGACGAUGUCGGAUUGAGGUUGAUUCGAGAUAAGGUGGUGAGUGGGAGGCUAAGGAAGCCUCACUUAAUUCAUAUUGAGUUUUGAGGAUUGAGGGUUGAGUUUGUUUGCUAAAAGUGGGUGAUUGGAUUAGGUUGAUCUUGGAGGAGGCCCAUUGUUCUAGAUAUUCCAUCCAUCCAGGUGUAACUAACAUGUAUCGUGAUUUGAGAAAGAACUACUUGUGGGUUGGUAUAAGGCGAGAUAUAGCGGAUUUUAUGGCUUAUUUCCUAUGUUGUCAGCAGGUAAAGGACGAGCAUAUAAGGCUUGGUGGAUUGCUUCAGGUUGCCCAUUCUCGAGUGAAAGUAGGAACAAAUCACCAUAGAUCUUGUGACUGGUUUGCCUCAUACAUCUCAUGGUUCUGACAGUGUUUAGGUCAUUGUGGAUCGAUUGACUAAGUCAGCUCAUUUUAUUCCGAUUCAGGUCGCAUUCAGUACUAAGAGGUUGGUCCGUAUCUACAUUCGUGAGAUUAUGCGUCUUCACAGUGUGUCAGUGUUCAUUAUUUCAAAUCGAGGUCCCAUGUUCAUAUCUCACAUUUGGAAGACUUUUCAGGAUGAGUUGGGUACUCGGGUGGAUCUCAGUACAGCAUUUUACCCCGAGAUUGAUGGUUAGUCAAAACGAACUAUCUAGGUUUUAGAGAAUAUGUUUUGUGCAUGCGUGAUGGAUUUUAGUGGCCAGUUGGACAACAUUUGGUUUUAGUAAAGUUUGCAUAUAAUAAUAGCUACCAUUCCAGUAUUGAAAUAACUCCUUUUGAGGCGUUGUAUGGUAGGCAUUGUCGCUCUCCAGUGGGUUGGUUUGAUGUUUUAGAGGUGAGACCUCGAGGUACGGACUUGCUUCGUGAGUCAUUUUAUAGAAUCCGGUUCAUUAAGGAUAGACUUAGAGUGGCUCAGAGUAGGCAGAAAUGUUAUGCUGAUCAUAGAUUUUGUGCCUUGAGAUUUAGUGUUGGUGAUCAUAUCUUUCUUCGAGUUUCGCCCAUGAAGGGUGUGAUGAGGUUUUAGAAUAGGAAGGCAAACUUAGCCCCAAUAUUGGUUAAUUUGAGAUUCUUCGGACUGUUGGUGAUGUAGCUUAUGAUUUGGCUUUGCCCCCUGAUCUAUCAGCUGUUCAUCCAGUUUCUUAUGUUUUUAUGCUUGUCUCUAUAUUCCUGAUGAGUCUCAUGUUGUUUAUUGAGAGUCAGUUCACUUAGAUGAGCGAUUGUCCUUUGUUGAGGAGCCAGUCUCCAUUAGGGUUAGGUAUGUUAGGUGACUGCGCUCUAAAGUUAUCUCUAUGGUUAAGGUUCAGUGGUGACAUCGACCAGUAGAUGAUACUUAGGAGAUUGAGUCUGAUAUGUAUAGUUCUUAUCCCCAGCUCUUCAUUGAUUCAGGUAUUUCUUUGCCUUAGUUCGAGGAUGAACUAGAAUUUUUAGUGGUGGAUGAUGUAACGACUAAAAAUUUUUGAGAAAAUAUGUGAAAUUUAUAAUCUUGUGUGAUUUGACUGUUUUACCCCUCCACAUAGUUGCAUUAUCAUAUCUUUGGGGUGUGGGGGUGAUUGGCAUGAUUUUUGAUUCAUUUUGGUACCAUUUAUAUGAUAUUAUGAUCUUUUAUGGCGUCAAGAGUCUUAUUUUGGACUUAUGUUGGUAUCUUUUGAACUGUGGGAUGGAUAGCUGAACGACUAUGCCAAAAUCUAUAGAAUAUCAAUUUUAGGCUAGGUAGACCUUUGGUUCGGGUCCUGGUGUGCCCAACCUCAUUUCGACCUAAUGAUCGGAAAGUUGAAAAAAUAGAAAUAUGGGUGUGGGGUCCACAUUUGGUCGAUACAAACUAGGAUGAAAAAUCCCGCUCUUCAGUAGAUCUGAAACGUCAAUUUUAGGGUGGUAACAUGCUUGGUGUGAUUUUGCGGCUUAAAUGUCAUUUCGACCCUCGAUUUGAAAAAUUAUAAUUCUUGGUUUCGGGGAUCAACUUUGCGAAAAUGAUGAUUUUUUAAAAAUCUGACUUCGCCAACGCAUUCGAAACGUCAAAUUUAGUGUGGAUGCAUAGUUCAUUUGCAUAUAUCAAACCCCGAAUGAAUUUCGAGCAUCACGUCGAAGUCUGGGUUGGACUUUUAAAAAAACAGUAGCUUUUUUCUUUGCUGGUGCAGAUUUUUCUGAACCAAUAAAUUAGUUUUUGGGGCCCAUUUACUCAUUUAUCAUCUGACCUCUUGAAAGUUAAACCCUAAAGUAGUGUGAGAGCCUAAAAGUGAAGCUUGUGGGAGCUUGAAAGCUAGAUUAACAUUUUUUUCUUAAUUGUGUUACAAAUUUAAUGUAAGAAUUCACCAUUUUCUUAAUAAUUUCUUAAUUAAUUUCUUCAAACCCCAGUAAUCUUAGGGCUUGAUUUUAAAUCCCAACUUCAAUCUUUUUCGCUUGAAUAACAUUUUAAUCUUAUAAUUACUAGAUUUUCAUCAAUUUAACCUUCAAAACAACUCUGAUUCUUGAUUUUAACUUGAAUUUUAAAUAUUUUACCUGGUAAAGCUUUAAAAUAUUUUUUCUUCUAUUUGAACCUCAUUUUUACUUGAUUUGACUUGGGUUUUCAGCUGCAGGUUUUUAAAAAAAAAAGUGAGAAAUGCAUUUUUAAAGUAAAGUUAUGAUUUGCCCUUCUUUUUUGAUAACCUCGUUACGGGGUCCAUUUUAAUCACGAACCAAAAGUAGCCAAUAUGAGUGUCAUUGGUAUUGUUUUGAUGCGUAGAUUUUCUAUAUAAUAUUUUUAAUGGAGUUCGAGCUCAUUCGUGAAAAGUAAGGUCAUUGGUUCGAAGUAUAGCAGACCGGUUUUGACAUUCGAGGUAGGUUAUGGCUUAACUCUUUCAGACUGUCUAGGUAGUAAAUGAUGGUAUAAAUGCAUGUUAAGGGUGUAGACUAAUCAUGAAAAAUGGUUAUUUAUGUGUUGUACUCAUGUAGGGUUUAUAUGUGAUGUAACUGUCGAAAUUAAGUUAUUAUGUGAUAUGUGUGACCGUGUGGGGUACUAUGUGAUAUUGAUUGCCUAGAAUACAUGUAAAUAAUUGUAUUGUGUUGUUAAGAUGCUUAAUAUGGUAACAUUGGUGUACUAUAAUUAUAUUCAUACUUUAUUGGCAUAUGAGACAUGUGAAAAUUCGUAGAUGAAACUGAAAUAAUGAGUGGAUAUUGGCUCACGUGGUUGUGGAAAUAUAUUAUUGUGGUUGGUUUUAAAAAUAUAUCAUGUGGUUGGUUGUGAAAAUACUCAUUGUGAUUGGUUAUGAGCAUUAUGUCCUCAUAUCAUACUCAUUCAUGAAACAUUGACACCACUGUGGCAACAUCUAAGAAACACUAGUAAGACCUUAUUAAAACCCUUCCCGAAAGAUGUGUCAAUUAGGAGAUAUUGUAACACCUUAUAAAACCCUUUUUUAGGGAUAUGCCGGAAAGGAUAUGAGAUAUGUGGAUUGUAUACGGGUUGACGAAUUUCCAUGGGUCCUAUGUUGAAAAGCUUUAGCACCAUAGGUGUAUACGGGGAUUAUGCGAUGAUUCCGGUGAUUAUGCUUUGACCACGUGCAUCAUUAUCAUCAUCAUCAUAUACAUUGUACUUACUUUAUUGUAUUUCAUUUUGUUGUAUUGCCAUAUUAACUUCUCAUCUAUGUAUUUGUUGUAUCUUCCUUUACUUGUAUUUGAUGCUCUUGUAUAUACAUGUUCUACUUAUAUGUAAUACAAUAUGUACUUGUAUCCUAUCGUGGUGUGAUGUUGCAAUAUAUGUGUUAUAUUAGAACUGGUAGUGCAAGCGGUGUGGGCAACCGUUGUAGGAUAUUUUCUUAUUGCAGGUGACGUGCCCUUAGUGUGUAUUUUGUAUGCUUUAUUUUCUGCUUUGCUCGGUCGUCUUAUGAUACCUACUGAGUACAACUAGACCGUACUCACUCCUAUUUUACAUUUUCAAUGCAGCUUCAGGUUUGGGUGCGCCUCAAACUGAUUGAUUUCGGGUGCCUUCAGAUUACUCAAGGUAGCGGUUGGACAUUCAUACAUCCGGAGUUCACCUUUAUCUUUCUAUAUUAGUUAUAUCUUUAUUAGUACUCGGAGACAUAUAUUAUUACUCUGUGGUUAUUUUUCUGAUGUAUUUAACUCCGGAAUUAUAUUAGUAGUUUUUAUACUAUUAACACCAGG